rnacentral:sRNA from 1 species
UGAAGGCGGCACGGUCGCGUACCGUCUUUA